rnacentral:lncRNA from 1 species
CAAAUGUCAGUUGGCAUUUUCAAAAUCUGUGGGUUAAGCCACCUUAUUCUUUUAACUCCUCGAGGAAUUGAUUACGUGAAAUCACGUAUCCAAAAUGGCGGGCCAGAAGUUGUCGAGGUAAAUAAAUAUCAAUUCGUUUUACAGAUUUAGACUUCAAUUUAGGCAGUUUUGACGUCAUAUCACAUUCUGUUAGCGUCUCCAGGGGUUUUUAGUUUUUGUAAAACAACUUCAGAGUACUGAGGCCCCCUAAGGGGUUCACUGUUCCAAGAAAGCAUUUUUUUUCUCCCAGACACAUGAGUGCAUGCUUAAUCAUGGUAGAGUCUCUGAAUUCUUAACAUUUACAAGAAAUUUCAAAGAUGUGCUCUGCUGAGAACUUCCUGUUUGAGAAGGAUGAGAUUUUCACAAGAGUCACAUCUUAGGUCCAUAUGGGCAUAUGUCAUUUGCAAGUCAAUUUUAUCGUGUGCAGACUUUGCCUAUGCACUGUAAUGAUUAAUGAAUAUAAGAGAGCUUGUUAUUGUCUCUACUUGUAGAGGUCACGGAAUUCGAUUUACCGAUGCCACCUUGAAAACCUAUCCAUUACCACUACCCAAGAAAAUGCGUUAAUGGGAUACCUUGUCUCGGGUUAUUGGUAGAAGCAAGCAGUUGUGGACAGUCUUAAUUUCUGAUUAUUUUGUCUGGUCCUCAAUAAGGAAAACAGAGGAACGUAACAGAAAGAAUGUAGAAACAGAGCACCUUACAUCUUUUGUUGUUACGACUAAGAGAAUGACGUGCAUUUUGAUAAGAGGAGAAGUUCAUGCAGUUGCAGAAUUGUUAAAUACAUCAGACUUACAGUGAUCGUACAUGCCUACUCGAAACUACAUUUUUCUGCAUCUAUUUCCACAAUGAAAUUAUGACAUGACAUCUUAGUCUUCACUUACUUUGCUUCCUUACAUUAUGUCAUGAAGCAUCAUACUGAAUUGUUUACAUCUGUGCUUUGACAAUUUUCAUGCUAAAGCUGGAGAUGGCUCUGCAACUCUCAAAGAUCUUUUGUUUGGCCCUUGAGAUGUAGUCUGAUCUCUUCCAUGAACCGGAAAUUUAAUGGCUCUUUGAUACGUGGACUCUUUUUACAUGAUCAAAUGAUGUGAAAAUGAAAUAUGCUGCUGCGAAGUCUGCGGAUGGAUUCCUACAUGGGUUGAGAGGCAAAGCUGACAUUGUCGAGCGUGCAUUUGUUGCUUCUCAGGUUUGGUGCCUCGAAGAAACUUAUCAAGAUCCAAUUUUCUUGCGUCUCUCAAAUUCAAACUGAAAUGACCAAUGAGUUCAUCCUGGUGGACGGAUGUCCCAAAUCUCUCAUGUUCAGUGUUCAGAUUUCCGACUUCCGUUGGUACCCAUAAUGUUGCCUGUGCGCAUUAUCAGAUGUGCAGUGCCCCUAUUGUAAUAUGUGACCGUGGAAGCUACCUAAGAUGGUGUAAUUUAUGUCGUGUAAUUACCAAAAUAAAUGAGAAACAAUAAAGGACGCCAAAAAUUUACAUGAUUUUGGUACCAAGUAUCGAUAUCUAUAUCUACAGAGAGACCCAACAAUAAAUAAUUGAUUAAUAAUCGGAGAAUCUAAGUUUAUAAUCGUCCAUAUACUCUUUUAUUUCCCACAUUUAGAUUAAAUUCAAACCCAUAAUAUUUAUAAAUAAACAAAGAUUUGGAUCUAAAAACUCAAUGCAUAAAUUUCACCAUGUUCAAGCACGUCCGCAUCAAGAGCUUCUCCUCGUGGCUGCAUUCUCCGUGUGGCCGCCCCUCAAGGAGAAUUACUGUGCUGUCACAGUAAAUCGGCGGAUAUGGCAAGACUGAGAUCCAUCACAUUCUUAGAUGCAACUGUUCAUAUUUAAAGGUCCAAAUACAUUUUGAAUAAUGGCUCAAAAACUUCAGAUGGGAAGCUGACACGGCUCCCAGACAAUCAAUCAAGCGUUGCCUUUGUCAAGUCAUUAUCGAAAACGCCAUACAAAGCCCAAAACCACCAGAAAAUAUUGACGAACACAAUAAAUUAAGGCCAUAAAUCAAAUGAUGUCAUGCUCUAAGAUAUAGGACUACCCGGAGGAUUUACUUUCGUAAAAUAAUCAACGCCGUGUCAUGCUCAAAACCUCUAUUUUAGAUUUUUGCUGAUUUUGUUACUUUAUUUUUAAAUCUCGAUGGGAUGCAAAAGUGUACCAUCCUAGAUUAUAGUACUAUUUCGCAUGGCCUUUUCCUUGAAUUAAAUCCUAACUCACAUUUUUCUCAUUGCCGUUACAUGAUAAGAUGACGGAUAUAUUUAAGUUAAAUUUUGGUGAUUUCAUAGAAUUGCAAUUUUAACUCCUAGUUUUCGCAAUAUAACGCCUAAAAUGAGGGAAGUCCCAAGCUUUAUUAAAACUUAAAAUCAAGGUCACUAUAGCCUAUCCGUCCAUUUUAUGACGAAAAAGUCUGUAAACGUUAACAAGGAAAAUGCGAUUGGGGCAACGGUUGUUGAUCGGUGCUUCUUCGCAGCUUUCGUCAACGAAGACUCGAGCGCUGAGCCUUGCAGCGGGCGGAGACUGCGCAAUUGCCGAAUCUCCCUUGUUGUGCAGGACGUCGCUGGGAUUCAAAGUCGUGAUCCUGGAGGGACUGGGCAGCCUCUGGCAGUUUUGAUGAAGAUCAACUCGCUCCUCUGUUCUUCAUCUGUGCUUUAUUAGCGCUGCAAUUACCGUACAUUGUAAUGACAACGUGGAAGAGACAUUGGCAAUAAUGACAGUAUUUGGCAGGACGACAGAAGUAGGAGUGCAGUGUAGCAAGAGCAAUGUCACUCCCGAGCUUUGGAUCGCUUCACUCGGUUUCCUUAGAGAUGCUCUGCAAGACUGCAACAAUGCUUUGCAGUGUGGGUGGAGAAGGGCGAUGGAGGAAUGAUGCACGAAUUGGCCCAUAUUCGUCCACUAACACCAUAAAAAAUUGAAUGAAGCACAUACGAUCUCGAUAACUAGCAUGCAGAUUCUUACCGAUCUUCCACUCUCACGUAGGUUCGGAGAGUGCCACGUGAGAGUGCAAAUUGACUAUAUCCAAUUGAACAAAACCGAUGAUAGACUGCCCCAAUUCCUAUAUCUUGGUUGGCCCAUUGAGCGAGUAAACCUCACAACUUUUUAGUGUCUCAAAUCUACUAAAUUAUAGACCAGUGGAUAUUGCUGUAGAUCCACAUGAUGAUUUGACGAUUUUUACAGAUCUAAUCUUCAGGUCUUCCAGCAUUAUUUUUCACAGUUUCAUCAUAUGGUCGAGUAGGCAUGGCUUAACCCACAAAUAAUUAUGGGAGCCAUCUUGGAUGGCUCGAAUUGGCUAUGAGACCUGUGACUAAUCUUUUGUAGCGUACUAAAAAUUUGAAAGUAAAACUACUUCAAACUUGAAAAGGACACAUUAAAGAAAGUUGUGGCUAGUUUGAAUAGGCACUAAAUCAAUCUAUAAGAUCUCGAAUCAAUUAGUCAAAGUAUUGAACUGGUUCGGUCAAUAAUGGUAUUGGGCUUUUGAAGCCUCUUGCUAACAUGGCCUGGGACUUGGCCUACUAAAAUAGCUUGCUGACGUCAUAGGGUGUAACUUACCGGUGCUGAACUUGACUUGGCACUUGUAAGUGUGUGGAAGCUUCGUUUGCCCUGAAAUUGGACGACCAACUUCUAUGGAGGUUGAUGAGUUGACUUGUAUCGUGGAUUGAGUUUUUGGAGGCACAAAUGUUGUUGUAGGCACUUUACGGACUAUUGUUAGAGUUCCAACACCUAUCAUGUAUGUUGACACUUACAUUUUAGCGACUCAUUAAUCGUUCAUUAAUUACAAAAAAAAUUAGAAAUUAAUUCUUAACCCUUAACAAAAACAAUUUUCAUUAAAUUGAGUUACAUAUGAACAUUACGAACAUUUGCGUUGCUACUAUUAAUUAUUAAAAUUUUUAAGAAUUUUAUUUUUUUAAAAUUAAAAAAUUAAUUUUAAAAACUUUGUGGGCCCGGGGUAGUGCUGGGCCUGCCGAGCCCCUUUUUCUUUUCCUUUUCCCUUCCCCUCUUUGGGCCCGGCUCUCUUCUUUUCUUUUUUUUGGCCCUUUUCCUUGGCCCGGCCCUUGCCACAUCUUUCCUUCCCUUUCCCUUACGCCCUCUGCAACGCGACGAGAACACUGGUACGACGGGGAAUGGCACGACCGCAGGAGCGUCCGGUCGGGGGUCAGGCCGGCAGGGGCAGCUGGCGUCGCAGGAGGCCAUGCGCGCUGGGCAACUUCAAAGGGAGAGAGGUGAGUGAGCCACCGCGCUUGGACCUCGGCCGCCGACCCUUGCUGACGCGGGCUUCUCCCACGGUAGGUAUCAUGCGUAUCUUUUGGAGUUGCGUCGAGUUGCGUCAAUUUCCCCGGGAUCCCGGCUCGGAGGCGUGCGGGGCGACCGAACGUAGUCCGGUCUACGGAGCUCGCCCACCGUUCGCCGCCCCCGAGCCGGGUAGAGACCCUCGGCCGACCCCCUUUUAUGCCUUGCUUUUGCCCUGUUCUCUCGUGUUUUUGCACGAGCUACUGAGCCGGGGCGUGCGUUUCGGGUUCGUUUAUGCUGUCCUUCGUUGCUGCUGAGCAUUCCCCGCUGAUUCGUGUUGAGUUUUGAUCCGGUUUCGAGUCUUGUUCUCGUUCGGGUUUUCCUUUCAAUUCGCCCACCACACGUUUGACAAAAUGUUUGCACCAAGGCCGUAAAUAUUUUCUUCCGAUUUUGAGUCGCUUGAACGUGUAGCCAUGGGGUACGCUUGAUGGUGAUCUCUCUCUCACCUCAAAAUACGUUUUUUUGGUCGCCGCGGCUCAACAUGCGUUUCCUUCUCUUUUUCUGAGUCUCUUUCGGUGGUGCCUCUGUGUUGUUUGAUCCUGUGCAUUGUUCUCAUAGUGGAUGUGAAUACUUGCGAGGAACUGAACCGGGGAUCUUGACGAACACUGAUUUCUCACGAUGCUUGACUGAGCUUUACUAUCAUCUUCCAUUUUAUAUGUUACCCAUCGCUGUGGAGUCAUAAUUGAGGAUGGGCCGUGUUCCAAUGACUGUGAUCCAUAACAGACGUUUUGUGUUGGUGACUUAAGUUUUAAUGUUGAAGAUUGAAGGGCUCGUGUGCUGUGGAGGAUAAGGAGAAUCCAGAGAACAGUGGGGGAGAUCGACCAUAUUUUAGAGAGAGAAGAAAAUGGGAAAUGAGCUUGGGUUGAACUUUAGUAAAUCUAGAUUGGGCUUAAGUUAAUCGAGUCUGGACUUGUUUGGUUUGGGCCUAAUUGGUCUUGUGGAAUUUGGGUUUAAUUCGUUUGAGAUUUUUUGGACUUGUAUAGUUUAGUUUAGUUUGGGCUGGACGUUUUAGGUGAGUUGGGCUUUUGAGUUUAGUUCAAGUUUGUUUCAAGGUCUAUGUCUAACUGGGCUCAAUAGUGGGAAUCCGCCCGCGAAUUAGUCCUGCUCGGCGGGCCCGAGCCUGACUGCACUUGAUGCUUGAUAGUCCAAGCCGAUGUCCUUAUUUUCGGUUUUUUAUUUUUUAGAAAAAGAAUACUCUAAAAAUUAAAAACGAGAAAAGUUUAAAAAUAUCGAAAAAAAAAUUAUUUUGGUUUUUCAAAAACACAAUUAAAAAUGCAUAAAAAUUUUUUAAAAAUUUUAAAAAAUUUUAAAAAAUUCAAAAAUUCAAAAAAUUCACAAUUUUAAUAAAUUUAUAAGAAAAAAAUUUUAAAAUGCAUAAAAAAUACCUCUCUAAUGUGGUAGAGCGUGACCUAUGGGUAAAGAAACUCAACCUCGCGCUUUUAUGGUGGUUGAUGGGUUAACUGAUCAUGUCAAUUCAAUUUUUGGAGGCAAAAGUUACUGCAGUGCACAAUGUGGACUAGGGAUUAGAGUUCCUUCAAGAAAAAGUAAAAGAGGCCAAGGAAAAGGAGGAGGAUAUGUCCAUCAUGUUCACAUGGAAUGGAGCUGCAACUGGACUGGACUAUUGACUAUAUGUCACGAUGAUACGGAGGUGCAGCAAGGUGACCAUUUGCUUGUCCUGAAUUGACGAGGACAAUAGUGGAUUGUGUUGUUAGAGGAGGAGCAAGGAGACUCUUUCGCUAGAUAGACGACGGACUGUGGAAAGUGUUGCUCGUGGGAAGAUGUUAUUCUGGGGAAGGGAUUGAUGGGCAAAGCUCAAAUUGAGCAGCACACUAGUUUCAAAGUUAGAGGAUUUUGUGGUAGUAGGCUCAGCUUUACGCCAGCGAGAUUUCUGAACUGAAUCGUGACAGUACAAUGAAUAACUAUCGGGUUUUCACGAAGAGACGGGGCAUUGAUCCUGAGUAGUAGCAAUGACAAUGGUUCAAUUGCUUAACUUCAAUGUUACAACGUGUGGUUUAUCUGUAGGAACAAUAACCAAUUGCAAAAGAUCCUGCUAAAUGUAGAAUACAACUAAUCUAUAUACAAGCUUGACCGAGUAUAUAUCCCAGGAGAUCAACAAAGGUCAAGAUCCCAUAAUGUACUAAAGUUUUUGCUUUUCUGCUUGACAACAUUCAAAUGAAAAAGAAAAUGGCAUAUUAUAGGAAGAAAGACUAAACUAAUGAUUCCUAUGUUCCUAGUAGAAUUUCAUUGUUGGUUGAUGAAUGAAUGCUCACUUCGUAAAGUCAUACCAUAUCUGAUAUCUAGAAAGUUGGCUACUUUUGAAAUAUAUUAAAUAGUUAUUUCAUCAAUGCACUAAUGGUGAAUUUACUAUGAACUAAUCACUCAUGAGUUAACUAAUUUAUUGAUCUUUUUUUUCUUUUUUUUUUAUGUGUUUAUAAAAUGGACCGAGGCCGAAGAAAUUAAUCGGAAAUAAUUAGAUGAUGCAGUAAAGUCAUUGCAUUAAUGGACCUGAAAUCCAAGCCCAAUAAAUUCUAUAUAGAAUAUUAAAUGGACCAUCUUUGUGCUCUCGAACUUUAUUUUGGGCCCUCCAGAAGAGCUUGCUCCGGAAAGGCAAUUAACCGCCCCAGAGAAAGCCUGAAUCAUGCCACCUCCGAAAUGGGUAAAUGACUAAUUUUUCUGCAUCCGUAGCUCGAUAAUAUUUCCUCCAAUCAUUCCUGUAAUUAGUGGGUUAUAAAUUGAAGAUAUCAUUUACGUGCAAAUUUAAUUUAAAAUAGGUGAUAUUCAUACUUGCUACCCAACGAUGGAGGAACACAUCACCCUGAGUAAAUUGGCGAGUUUUUUGGGGCGUGGAGUAAUGCCCAGUUGAGGGAUGAUCUAAGCAUCUUUGCCUUCUGUUACAGGAAUAGUUGGAGAAAGUUCAUAAUAGGUAACUUACUAAUCAAGUUGAAGAAAGUUUUCUCAAACCACAGACAAAAGAAUAUAUGAGCUUAUCUUGUAAUAUCUUGAAUCUUUUUUUCGGAUAAAAAAUAGUUGUAACUAAGUCACUUCUAAAUGACAUGUACGUCAAGUAAAAAGCACUUAUUUCGAGCGAUUAAGGCCCCGUUUGGUUCAGCUUUGCAAAUGGACUUUGGGACUCUAAAGUUCCUUGGCCAAAUGUAAACGCGUUUGGUUGGAUUUUUUGGACAAUUUUGGCAAGAUGCAAUUGCAUCUCCAAAUGGCUCUAAUGGCCUUUAGCCCAAUGCAGCUCUUGAGGUCCUUUGGGAAGUUGCAUCUUCAGAAUGCAAGUUCGAUACUAUUCAUCUUCUUCGCGGUACUAUUCAUUUUCUUUGGAAAGACGAACAGAGGUUGACGACUGUCGGCCAAGGAGAGGCUCGCAUCGGCGACCGUCGCUUGAGGCGUCACCGACCCCGGCAACCGCUACUUGAGGUCAUGCGACCUCGGGCGUCGACUGGGUUCGCGCGACAGAGGCUUGAGGUCAUCGGACCUCAAGCGACACCUGGGUCGUGCGACCCAAGCGACGGCCACAUGACCCAGGUGACAUCGCCUGGGUUGUAAACCCCUGGCGUUGCUUAAGGUUCGGCGACAACAGGUGAUCGUCGCUUAGGUCGCGCGAACACAGGUGACCCUCGCCUAAGGUCACCGGACCUCAAGCAAGGCUGUCCGGCGGCCAAAUCUGGUCGUUGGAUAUUGGUCGUCGGUGGCCAGAUCUGGCCACUGGUGGCUACAAAAAAAAAAUUAAAAACUUUUUUUAUAUAUAAAAUUUAGCAAAAAUCAUUUACAAAAUGUAGUUUUUACCAAACAGUGUUUAAGCUAAAGUCCUUUCACAAUAUACUUUAAAAUUACAAUUUACCAAAAGCUAUUUGCAUUUGCACAUAUCAUUUUAACUCAAAGGUAUUUACAUUUUCUUAAUGGCAUUUACCCAAAGCCGAACUAAACGGGCUCUAAAUCAUAUGAAGUUUGUCCUGCCAAAUAUAAAUAACCGAUUAAAGUGGGCUUAGGUCACUGAAAAAAAAAAAAAGUGGGCCUAGGUCGUGGGUGGCAGCAAAAGUCUCUUGUCCUCUUCAUUUCUCUUUCCUCUCUUACCUUUUAUGAAUGCCUCAACCAGUUCCUGGCAAUUGAGUUGAAUUGACAAAUAAAUAAAUAAAAAGAUGUGGAAAUACGCGAAAGGUAGAGUCGUCCAUUUGUCUCCCCCUUUUGCUUUCACGUCAAUCUCUCUCUCCGCACGCAUAAAAGAUAUUGAGGAUGGAUGAUUGAAACUUCUGCAAAUGGACAUGCAGUGCAUGUAGAUUCCAUGCAAUGAAUCAUGCUAAACUUUGCAACUAACUAAAUGAGAAUUUUAAUUUUAAUCUUUCAGUUAUUGUCUUCUAUUUCUUUCAAUUUCUAAAGCACUUGGGAAAAAGCCAUUUGCGGGUGCACUUAUUGCAUCUACGAGAAUUUUACGAUUUAGGUCAUCAGAAACGAAAAAAUUUCUCUCUCAGGCUUGUGAUUUGUCUCUUUGUGGUAGAGUUGGAUUUUUUUUUUUUUUUUGGUGGAAGGGCGUGUUUAUUGUGAAAUUUUUUCGUUUGUUUGAAAAUUUAGAUAUGAGUCAAGAAAUAGUUCUGAUCGAAACUCAAUAAGUGUUAAAUUCAAGAAGGAUGGUCCAACGUCAAAAUGGGACGAGGUGGAUUCUAAAGACCAAAUUAUAGAGUCGGGCCACGUGUUUUCACUUUCCUUGCGUUUACAUGGGGCUUUCGCAAGGAGUUCGAGUGGCAGCUUUGGUGAUUGAAUCCACCUAAUCUUGACUAAAGUUGCAUAUAAUUAAUUUUAUCCCUUGCUUCUCAAGUCCUUUUUUUGGAGGAUUAACUUUCUUCUGGUGGGAUUCGGACGUCUUGCAUGCUGUCCAGCGUUUUCACGGAAAUUUCGAUUUUUUUUUUUAACUUUGUUCUUUGGUCGAAAUUUAAUGAAGUGUGUAAGAAUUGUGUCAAUGUCUUGUAUGGAUCUAAUUUAUGCCAUCUCUUGAAUUGAUUCAAUUUCAUAUUCUUUCCAAAUUUAGUUAAGUUUACAUGUAAAUAAUGCCCAUGACUUGUAACCUAACAUUAAAGACAUAGUUGGAGAAAGUUUCCUCCAAGAAAAGUACGACCCUUAUCUUGUAAUAAUUUGAUUCUCCUUUUUGAAUGAAUGAAUAAAUGCAACAAGAUCAUUUUGAAAUAACAUAUACAUCACAUAUGUCGGUUCAAGUAAAAGAUCUGCUUUACAGCAAUUAAAUCCUUUAAAAUUUGUCUAGCUAAUAUAAAUAACCGAAUACUUUAAAGUUUGUCUUGCGAAAAUCUGCUUUACAGCAAUUAAAUCCUUUAAAGUUUGUCUAGCUAAUAUAAAUAACCGAAUACUUUAAAGUUUGUCUUGCUAAAAUCUGCUUUACAGCAAUUAAAUCCUUUAAAGUUUGUCUAGCUAAUAUAAAUAACUGAAUACUUUAAAGUUUAUCUUGCUAAAAUCUGCUUUCCAGCAAUUACAUUCACCUGCUCCCACGAUCUCCUCUCAAUUUCAACUUUAUCCUGAAAUCACCGAGCAACUCCAAAGCCUCAAAAAGUGUCGAUCCCGUGGCAAAAAGUCUCUUGUCCUAUUCAUUUCUCUUUCCUCUCUUAUAUUUUAUGUAUAUCUCCCCCACCCACUUGCAAUUGAAUUGCAUUUGCGAAUCCAGGUUGUGGAACAACACGGAAGGUACAGUCGUCUCACCCUUUGACUUUUUCCAACAUGUCACUUCAAGUUGUACCUGCGAAUAGAGAACCUCUCUCUAAUUUUGCAUUUUUGUACGAAGGAUCUUGAGGAUGGAAUGACUGCGACUUCUGUAAAUAUACAGGCUAGUGCAUUUAGUUUUCAUGCAAUUCACUGAUGCUGAACUUUGUAACUAAUUAAAUGAAAUUUGCACCUAUGUCUAGCCAUUCCUUAGCUAUAGUAUUUAGGUAGGGAGGAGUCUCUCUCACUUGGUUCAGAUUAUAAGUUAUAAAGAUUUCCUUUGGAUGACGUGUUUUCUACUUCAAUUUUUCAUUUUUAGUCUUUUUGUUUUUUCUGAAUUUCUAAGGAACUUCGGAAUCCAUUUGAGAGGACACUUAUCGCAUCAUAAGCUUGUUACAAUUUUGACGAUUGUGCCAAUGGAAAUAGCAUAUCAAGCAAUGAAUCAUAGUGUUGAUCAUACAGGCCUAUGUCAGUAAGGGAGAACACUAACAUCAAUGGCGCUGAGUAUCGUUAAACACAGACUAUUUGGUACAAAGCUAGCAUAAUAAGUUGCUUGUCCACAAGAAGUACCCACUUUGGCUUGCGAUUUGUCUCUUUGUGGUAGAGUUGGGUGUGCAUCUCGUGCAAAUCUCUUUCUUUAUUGUAUUUCUUUGAAAUUAGAUAUGAGUAGAGAAAUAGUUCGAUUGAUUGAAAUUAAAUAAGUAUAUUAUUCAAGAAGGAUGGUUCGAUUGUUUGAAUGGGACGAGGUGGAACCUCGAGUGGGCUUCUUGACCAAAAUAACAGAGUCGUCCUACCACAGGCUUUCACCUUCCUUGUGCUUACUUGGCGCUUUUGCAAGGAGUUGAUUGGAAGCUUCAUUUGUUCAUUAUUUGGAGAUGGCUUGAAUAAAGCGUCCUACCGUCUAUCUUUUCUGUCUACAUGAAAAGACAAAUACGCACAUAAAAUAUACAGCUCUAGUGGUUGAAUCCACCUCAUCUUGACUGAAGUCACCUAUUAUAAUUUUUGAUGCCUUGCAUUUCAAGUCUCUUCUUGGAGGAUUAACUUUCUUCUAGUGGGACUCGGAAGUCUUGGAUGCAAUGCAGCAUCCUCGCGGAAAUUGCUAAUUUUUUCUUAAACUUCAGUCUUAUGUUUUAAUGAAAUGUGUAAGGACUGUGCCAAGUUUUGAAUGGAUCCAACCUGUGCCAUCUCUAGAAUAGAUCCAAUUUUAUCUUGCUUUGAGAGGGAUAAAAAUUCGAUUAGGACUUAUAGGCAGCCCCAUUUGGCUGAUGUUGGUGAUAUUGUCCAUUUGGAUAACGUCUCGCUUUCCUUGAACAAUGUUGAAAUUUUUUAUACUAAUUUGAGCUUGUGAGAGACUAAUCUAUUAAUGUAAUAAUUUUGAUAUAAGUAAUGGUGGAAGAAUGAAAAAUACGAUACCCAAUAUUCCCAAACAAUUAAAAGAGACUUUUUGGUACAAAGCUAGCUUUGUGAUCACACCACCACCCCAAAGUGCUUUGAGUGAGGGCCAACAAACCUCACCUAUCAUGUAAUGCAUAAGAAAAGUACCGAAAAAACUCUAAACCUAUUACAUUGGUAUCGAUUCAAUCCUAAAUCUUUUAAUUGGACCAAUUUAGUCAUAAACUUUUUUAUGUUGAUACCAAUUCAGUCAUAAACCUUUCAAUUUAACCAAUUGAGUCCUAAACCUUUUCACAUUGCUAUCAAUUGAGUCAAUCUGGCUAAUUUUGGCCUGCCGGUGCUAAUGUGGAUGCCAGUCAAUGGCCAUGCGUUGACGUGGCAAUUUUUAAAUAAUUUUUUUGAAUUAUUUUUCCCCCAUUUUUUUCCCUUUUUCCUCUUCUUUCCCUUCUUCUUCCUCCUUGGACUCUCCUCACAAUGGCCACCAAGGGUUGCGGCCCUCGCCUAGGGCCGCGACCCUUGAUGACAAUUGGUGAGGGCUUUGUGGCUCUCGCCGAAGGCUCGUUGGCCACUGCGAGGAGAGUCCAAGGAGGAAGAAGAAGGAAAAUAAAAAGAAAAAAGAAAAAGAAGAGAAAAAAAUUUAUAAAAAAAAAAAUUGAAGAAAAUUAAAAAUUGUCACGUCAGCAUUCUACCACCGACUGACGUCCAUGUCAGCGCUAGCCAGCCAAAAUUGACUAGAUGGAUCAAAUUGGUAUAAAUGUGAAAAUGUUUAGAACUAAAUUAAUAUAAGUAAAAUAUUUACAACUGAAUUGAUGCUAAUAUAAAAGGUUUAGAAUUAAAUUAGUCAAAUUGAAAAAUUUAGGGGAAAAGCCACCAAAAACCUCCAACUUUGCCUCGAGUGACAGAUUUACCCCAAACUUUGUUUUGUGAUGUGAAAAACCCCGAAGUUUGCUAACUGUGACACAUUUACCCCAAACUUUUAUUUGUGACACAAAAAAUCCCAAACUUUUAUUUGUGUGACAUAUUUACCCUAAAUCAUAAGGGCAUUUUGGUAUUUUUACUUUUAAAAACUUUUUUCCUUUUUUUUUAUUCUUUUUUUUUCUUCUUCUUCUUCCUUCCCUUCGCCAGCCAUGGCAGAGCCGGCGGAGGGAAGUUGGCGUCCAACGAGGGCCUCCCUCGCUAGAUCUAGCGAGGGUACCCUUGCCCGAUGCCGGCAAGGGCACCCCUCGCCCGACGCAGGCGAGGGCGGCCCUCGUCGGCGUCGGGCGAGGGUCUCCCUCGCUAGAUCGGCCGAGGAAACCCUCGCCCCGACGCCGGCGAGGGCACCCCUCCGCAGAUCUAGCGAGGGGUGCUCUCGCCGGCGUCGGGUGAGGGAGGCCCUUGACUGGAUCGGAGGAGGGCCUCCCUCGCCCGAUGCAGGCGAGGGCGGUCCUCGUCGACAUUGGACGAGGGCCUCCCUCGCCAGAUUUGGCGAGGGCACCCUCAUCGGCGUCGGGCGGCCCUAGCCAGCCCAGGCGAGGGUGACCCUUGCCCGACGCCGGCGAGGGCUGCCCUUGCCGGACACCGGCUUUCCUCCGCUGGCCGGCGGAGGGAAGAGAGAAGAAGAAAAAAAGAAAAAAGAAAAACAAAAAGCAAAAAUAAUAAGAUGAAAAUACCCUUAAUGGGGUAAAUAUGUCACAGUUAGCAAAUUUUGGGGUUUUUCAUGUCACAAAACAAAGUUUGGGGUAAAUCUGUCACUCGAGACAAAGUUUGGGGUUUUUGGUGAUUUUUUCCCAAAAAAUUAUGAUUGAAUUAGUACAAAUAUAAUAGAUUUGUGACUUUUUUGGUACUUUUUCUGUGUGACCUCCACACCACUACACAAGGGAUGUUUGACCCUCACACAAUGUGGCAAUGGUGGCCCAAAAACCAUGCAAUGUAGGCGGGGAUAGAUGAAGGUCUUUGUCACCGAAACUUUGGGCAAGGGUUAGUGAUCAUCUCGCCGAUCCCACCACGUGUGCCUCUAGUCAGAGAUGUAGACCGAUUGAAGGGAGUAAUCACAAACUGGGCUUGUUCCCCCUGAAAAUGUAGCCUUUGACUUUUUUAUUUCUCCCUUUCUGUUGAGGAAAUUAAGAAGAUUUACAUGUAUAUAGGGUUCAUUUUAUCCCCUUUCAAAGAGAUAAAUUUAUACUGGAAAAAUGGGCAAAGCUAAACACUAAUCAAAUUAUACGCACGCAACGAUAUAUGUACAAGAUAUUUUGUAUGUUGUUUAGUAUUGGUAUUGAGUAUUUGAGAGCAUCCAACCAAUUUCAUGAUUUGUGAUAUAAUCCCACUGCCUAAAUCUACUUUCGUACCAACCCAACAAUUUAUGUUUGUGUUUUCAGGAUGUUUUUUCAUGGUCAAAGUCGAAAAUGGGAUAAGCACGGGUGCUUUCUGACCAAAGAAUUUUAUGUGCUUGACCGGAAAGGCAGGUUCUUAAAAUUUUAAGCUCGUUAUUAUUAUCUUGGUGGUUGAGGCCUGUUGGGUGGACUCCCACACCACAUGUGCUACGAAAGCAACUAAUAAGCCUCAAAAAAUUUCGACCCAUUGCAAAAGUCUCCUAUCCUCUUCGUGUCUCUUUCCUCUAUUUUAUGUAUGCUUCAUGCCUCAUCGCAAUUGAGUUGAAUUGUCAGAGAAAGAGAAAGAGUUGUGGAAAAACACGAAAGUUAUAAAGUCAUGCACGUCUGUCCUUUUGCUUUUUCAGUUUCCUUGCAUUUACACGGGGAUUUCACAGGGAGUGAGGGGAAGCUUCAUGUGUUCAUUACAUGGACAUGGCUUAAACGGAGCGAUCCUAUUCUACGUAUUUUCGCUUUCCUUACGCUCGUCAGUGUGCAAAUUUGUCGACGAGGGUUGUUUGAGAGUUUGGAAACGGCGGAAUUACCCCCACUUACAAUGGCCAUGACAUCAGCAGGGCCUGCACUUCCUUUAUUUUUGUCCUUCAUCAUCCUAUGACAUUUUAGUUGGCACGAACCUAUGAAACCUUGCAUCAGAUAGCUUGAUUUUAUAGAAUACUGUGUUGGUUCGAUGAGCUUAUAGAAAAUGAGAGAUUUUACCUCCAAUCAGAGAUGUAGACCAAUUAAAGGGAAUAAUCACGAGCUGAGCUUGUUACUCUUGAAGAUGUAGCCUUUGACUAUUUUCUUUCUCCCUUUCUCUUGAAGAUUCUAGAAUGUUUGCACAUAUACAGUCAUCAUUUUAUCCCCUUUCAAAAAGAUCAGCUUGUACCGAAAUAUGGAGAGAGCUAAAUGUGAAUCGAUAUUAUAUGCACACACAAAGAUAUAUGCAAAACAUGUUGUACGUUGUUUGGUAUUGGAAUCGCAUAUUGAGUAUUUGAUGUUAUCCAACCAAUUUCAUGAUUCAUGAUAUAAUCCCACUGCCUAAGUCUACUUUCGUGCCACCUCCUUGAAUUAUGUUUGAGUUUUCAGGAUGCCCUUUCUCAUGGUUAAAGUUGAAAAACGAGACAAGCCCCCAGAGAAUUUUAUGUGCUUGACCCAAAAAGCAGGUUGAUUUAAAUUUUUAUUUAUUUAUUUUAGGGAAAGUAAAGGCACCUUCCGACCAGUUUCCAUAAAGUUGUUUGGCAUUUUUGAGAAACUUCAUGCCUCCCUUCAACUUUUUUUCGACUAUUGCUUUGCUUCCAUAAAAUAUGUACAUGCGAGGGUUUCCUUGCUAUUUCUUUUCACCCUUUUCGAUUGCAUUAUUGUCCUUAUCAUGUUCACAUCAAACUACUCUGUUUGAUGAUGGUUGACGCAUCAAGCAUGCUACUCUAUGCACAGAAAUUACUAGGUGGAUCAUAUGCAUAUGCCCUUGAUAGCACGUUAUUAAAAUUUUAAGCUCCUUAUAAUUUUCUUGGUGGUUUAGGCCUGUAGGUGGACUAUCACAUAAUUCAUGUGCUCCGAAAGUUGUGUCAAUCUUUACUUUUGGCCUAUCGAAAAGGAUUGAAUCCACUGCUUCAAGCAAGUAUAUUUUUUCCCAGACACAUGACUACAUUGUUUAACCAUUUUAGAGUCUCUAAAUUCUUUAAAUUAACGAGCCAUUUUGAAGAUGUCUUUUGCAAGUCAACUCUAUGGCGUGAAGCCUCUGUCGAUGCACCGUGAUGAACUUAAGAGAGCUUGACAUCCACUACUACCACCCAAGAUCUUUGUGGGAAUUAACGUGACACCUCGCCUGUGAAAGUAUGUACAAGGUGAUGACUGUCUUGGGCUAUAGGCAGAAGCAAGCAGUUGUGGA